GGCUUCAUGGCUGGUAGAGCAUCGCACUAGUAACGUGCAGGUGAUGGGUUCAAAUCCCGUUGAAGCCU